CAGAGGUUCAAGCACAUGCUGAAAGAAGAAUGUCCAGGAGGACGGGUCUGAGACGACAUGCUCCAAAAAGAAGAAGGCUCCACCCUGGAAAGUAGAGCCAACAAAGUGUGACUGAUAAUGUGAACGUGGCCUAAUCAUCGACAUUUCCAAAAGCACUUGAAUGCAGCAUGUUGUUGUUGACACUGACUGUUCUGAGGAUGCGUCGGAUCUCCUGCAGCACUUGCUGCACGUUGCUGACUGAGCAGAGGACCAGAGUGCAGACAACCACGUCCACUGACUCGUCCUGGACUUCCUUCAUAUCCUCUCCACGCGCGACUAUAAACGCGUCAUAGGUCAGGUGCUGAUUGGCAUCCAUGCUCAGCUGCAGGUACCUGUGGAAGUGUGGGUUCGGGUCCGUGCACGUCACUGUGCAGCCGCACGGGUAGAAGCUGAAGUUUGCUCCGCUGCCACAGCCGAUCUCCAGCAGGCGGAGCGACCCAUCAGUGUUUGCAAAUCUGCCCACGUCCCGGAAAAGCUCCCUCUUAAUUCUGUGCAUCUUGGCGUUGUACGAAAACGUGACGUUGUAGGCGAGAAAUGGAAACAAGCGCUUGUAGGCGCCGCACAGGCCCGUGAUCUCCAUCACAUUCAAGGGCAGAGUCAGUGCCAAGAGGACAAUUCUGCAGAAUUUCAUCAGACAAGACUUCAUCCUGGCUGAAGGAUUUCAAGACUUGAAGAUAGAGAGGAUCAAGAGAUUACUCUGUAAUACCUGAGUGACAAGGACAGUACUGGCCUUUCGCCACACGGUGGCGCAGAUGGACAGAUAAUGUGUGGUUAAAAAUGUGAACAGUCACUCCAAUGCAGUCUUUGUUACAGCCUCCAAGUCCAAUGAAGAAAAAGUUCAUAAUAGCAGCACCGAUUCCCAAACUUGAUAAAUCAUUUUAAGAGACCUACACAACCCUUCAGUAAACAAUUACUUUCAUAAUUUUCUCUAUUAAUCGUCCCAAAAAAUUGUGGAAAAAUGUUGAGUGUUGGAAAUGAUAAUGUUUCCAAAUGUCUUUUUUUGUCCACAAACCAAGAUGACUCAGUUUUAAUUAUUUCUUUGUCAAAUGGAUCAAAGAAACCAGGAAUUCAGAAAAUGUGUUUUAAUUAUUUAAAAAAACACAACGAUUAUCAAAAUAGUUGAGGAUUAAUCUAGUCAUUGUAGCAGCCCUAUAACAUAUGAAUUAAUAUUAAAACAUAUUCUCUCUUUAUUACCAGUGAAAAAUCAUAAAUCAUCAUAACCUCAGUAUUGAUCAAAAUAAUUGUGGUGGGGUUCAACUAACAUUUCUUAUGUUGUGUUUAUAGAUUACUAAAAUUGCUACUUGGAAAUGAUAAUUUAAUGAUUAAUUUAUGAUACAUUUGAAAGUUUUCAUUGUCAAUAUCUUCAUUAUCAGUCGUGUCAUCAGGUACAAGUGCCAAAGAUAGUCUACUAUUGUGUAAUAGACAAAUAUGACUUUUCGGAUUAUGCAAGAGAUUUAUGAUUGUGGCUUUUUUUCUUUCUUUUGAAAAAUAUAUUUAGUGGGUAUGCAUUUUUUUAACAUAGCAAAUGUGUCUGUUUUAAGGGUCAGCCUGAGAAUGCAUUCAGACAAAAACAACAAACACAUUUUUUUUUACUGUAUUUUAAUUUUUCCAUUCAACUACUCGGCAAGUAUUUCACAAUUGUCCUUAAAUGGUACACUUUGACAGAACAUUGACAGAAAGAAACUGACCAUUUUUUGCACCAAAAAACCAAGAACCAGGCAGGUUCAGUGACUCUGGAAAUAAUAACAAUAUUGACACUGCAACAUGAUGAAAAUCCUAAAUAGGCUCGAUUUAGCACUGACACACGUUAAAGAUGAAUGUAAGUGUAGAACACUGAUGAAAAUCCAUUCAGUUCACUGUGUCAGUAUCAGACUGAGAAGAGAAGAUAGAGAUAUUAGUGUUGUGGCCUUAAUUCACUAAAAUAUUUCUUUAGUGAAAAAACAAACAUUGAAAGGGUUUUGUUUUUUUUGUACAAAAAUAAAAAUAGUAUGAAAUCAAAUCAACUCACACGUGAACAAUUCUGUCUUACAAAGGACAGGCAUUUAGCACAUGGCUUAUUCAUACUUGGCAGUAGGGCUGCAUUGAUUCAUUGUUCCUUAAUCAAUUGCAAACUUCAUCUGCAACUAUAUGAUUAAUAAUUGAAAAAUGAUGUCUGUUUUUCUGGCUUCUUAAAUGUGAAUAUUUUCUGAUUUCUUUGCUCCGGGGAACAAAGAAAUCAUUCAAACUUAUUUUGGUUUGUGGACAAUUUCAAGGUUUUGGGAAACAUCAACAUUUUCUGACCAAACAACUAAUAGAUUAAUCGAAAUAAUGACAAGCAUACUAAUUAAUUCUAUUCGCUGCAGCCCUACGUGGCAGUGAUGGAGUUUACGACGCAGCUCAUCGAACUAAGCUAUUUCACAGCAUAGCCGAUGAUGUGUGGCCUGAUCAAGAUAAAGAACGGUGCUUGGAUGUGCCUCAGAAAGACUUCGGAGAAUCCGGCCGCCUCCACUUGUUUCCACGUUUGCCGGUUGAUCUCGCAUCCGUCACCGAAGUAGUUCAUGACCGGCUGAAAGACGUGCUGCAGGAAGUGCGUCCACGUUGACUCUUCCCCGAGAACGUGCUCGAUGAAGAAGAAGGCUCCGCCCUGCAAAAACAACAUUCACUGUGUCAACAGUUGUGCAAAGAACACAAUCCCUUUCUUGUGUUUCAUUAGGGGCAUGCCAUGAGGACAUCGCAGAACAGGUAAAGUGGAUGACAUCAUUACAAUGGAACACAUUCUGGCCAGAGCUGGAUUAAAUAAAUGGACUAUACUAGGCAGACUAUAUUUUUUGGGCCCCCCACCAUCGAUGUUAUUUAUGAAUUGAAAUCUGAAACUUACCAAAGUUACUAAUAAAAGUAAAUUCACAUUUUACAUAGCGUAGUCUUUAGUUACGAGUUGGUUCUUUGUAUGCCAAAAUAAGUCAUGUGUUGUAUAUUAAACUAUCAGAGUCUAUCAGACUAUUUUUUGAUUUUUAUUACCAUAUUUAUUCGUUACUACAAGGCUCUAUUAAAUGCUAUUCAAUUAUCCUUAUCUUAUCCAUUGCGAGUGUCAUUGUUAAGGCAGUAGUACCAGUAAAUCACCAAUAGGUGUCACCGUUGCUAUGUAAACAGAGCAAAUAAGAUAAAUGUUGUAAGCUAUUGCAUUUUGCAGAAAAUCUUAAUUAAAUGUGUUGAUUAAAUUGAAUAGUUUAAUAAGUAUAGUCAAAUAUACAAAGACCAAUAAAAUUUGCAGUAAGAGAAACUGUGCAGUAGUGGUAAAGAGGUUUAUUUUCAUGGACAAGCAUCACCUCUCUUCCAUUUUCUGGUAUUCAACACUCAGCAGCUCAGCUCCUGGUCUGGACUGUUCAGCAGUUUUCUCCACUGGUCUGGAUGUUUCUCUGGAUGGUGUACUGUGCAGUGUUGUUUUUGGAAGCCAUUCUAGAUUUAGUCUUAGUUUUAUUAGUCUUCUGGACUAAAACGCUUAUUAGUUUUAUAAUUUUAGAUGAAUUACUGUCUGGAUCUCACAUCUUAUUCUACAGACUGAAGAGAACGUCUUUAUUUCUCACAGAUUUGCACAGACAUCACACAGUAAUCAUUUCAAAUAUGUUUUUUGAAUCAAAAUGAGAAUAAAGAUGUAAAAAUGA